rnacentral:tRNA from 1 species
CGGGGUGUAGCUCAGCGGUAGAGCCUCAGCUUUGGGAGCUGUAUGUCGGGGGUUCAAAUCCCCCCACCCCGACCA